GACGAACGCUGGCGGCGUGCUUAACACAUGCAAGUCGAACGGAAAGGCCCUGCUUUUGUGGUGUUCUCGAUUGGCGAACGGGUGAGUAUCACGUGUGUAACCUGCCCUUGUCUUUGGUAUAACUUCACGAAACUGGGGCUAAUCCCGUAUAGCAUCUUCUUCUCCAUGGUGGGCGUUGGAUAUUUUCGGCUGUUGGGGAUGGACUCGCGGCUUACGAGCUUGUUGGUGGGGUAGUCGCUUACCAAGGCUUUGACGGAUAGCCGGCAUGAGAGGGUGACCAGCGACAAGGGGACUGAGAGACGGAGCAGACGGGAACAGGAGGCAGCAGGGGGGAGCAUGGCACAGUGAGCGGGAGCGUGAGAAAAAGACGCCGGGGGCGUAAUGACGGCCUUCGGGUUGAAAAAAGCUGUAGCUUGAGACGAAGCGGGAGUGACGGUAAUGAAGAAAGAAGCACCGGCUAACUACGUG
rnacentral:rRNA from 1 species